rnacentral:rRNA from 1 species
AUUGAACGCUGGCGGAAUGCUUUACACAUGCAAGUCGAGCGGCAGCACGGGGGCAACCCUGGUGGUGAGCGGCGAACGGGUGAGUAAUACAUCGGAACAUGCCCAGUCGUGGGGGAUAACACUUCGAAAGAAGUGCUAAUACCGCAUACGUCCUUAGGGAGAAAGCGGGGGAUCUUCGGACCUCGCGCGAUUGGAGUGGCCGAUGUCAGAUUAGCUAGUUGGUGGGGUAAAGGCCUACCAAGGCAACGAUCUGUAGCUGGUCUGAGAGGAUGAUCAGCCACACUGGGACUGAGACACGGCCCAGACUCCUACGGGAGGCAGCAGUGGGGAAUUUUGGACAAUGGGGGCAACCCUGAUCCAGCCAUUCCGCGUGAGUGAAGAAGGCCUUCGGGUUGUAAAGCUCUUUCGGCAGGAACGAAACGGCGAGCUCUAACAUAGCUUGCUAAUGACGGUACCUGAAGAAGAAGCACCGGCUAACUACGUGCCAGCCGCCGCCGUAAUAC